GAUGAACGCUGGCGGCGUGCCUAAUACAUGCAAGUCGAACGAAACUUCUUUAUCACCGAGUGCUUGCACUCACCGAUAAAGAGUUGAGUGGCGAACGGGUGAGUAACACGUGGGCAACCUGCCCAAAAGAGGGGGAUAACACGUGGAAACAGGUGCUAAUACCGCAUAACCAUAGUUACCGCAUGGUAACUAUGUAAAAGGUGGCUAUACUACCGCUUUUGGAUGGGCCCGCGGCGCAUUAGCUAGUUGGUAGGGGAAAGGCUUACCAAGGCAAUGAUGCGUAGCCGAAUUGAGAGGUUGAUCGGCCACAUUGGGACUGAGACACGGCCCAAACUCCUACGGGAGGCAGCAGUAGGGAAUCUUCCACAAUGGGCGAAAGCCUGAUGGAGCAACGCCGCGUGGGUGAAGAAGGUCUUCGGAUCGUAAAACCCUGUUGUUAGAGAAGAAAGUGCGUGAGAGUAACUGUUCACGUUUCGACGGUAUCUAACCAGAAAGCCACGGCUAACUACGUG
rnacentral:rRNA from 1 species